rnacentral:lncRNA from 1 species
UUUCUCUCUCUCUUUUCUUUCUUCUUUCUUUCUUUCUUUCUUUCUUUCUUUCUUUCUUUCUUUCUUCUCUUUCUUUUUCUUUCUUUCAUUUAUUUGUUUCUGCUUUUCCUCUAGGUCUUCCCCUGGCUCAUGUUCCCAAAGUGCUCCUAACCAACUUCCGUUUUGGCGCUGCCCCAUUGCAGUUGAUUUUUGGUCAGAUAAACUCUUAGAACAUUAAAAAAAAAUUAUUGAGUCAGUUCAUGUUCCAGAAAGCAUUCUAAAAACAGGGGAUACAUUUGGUGGUGUAUGUGUGGGAGGGGAGACUCAAUCUUUACGAGCUUUUAUUCUAUUGAAGAAGACACAAAGUUAACAUACGAAUAUAUGAUAUAACGCCAGCUAGUUGUUAGGUACUCUGAAGAAAGAAGGAAAGUAAGGAGAUAGAGAAAAAUGGGAUUGGAGGUGGGAUGGAUAUUUUAGAUGGAGUGAUUAGAAAGAGCAUCUCUAAUUGUCAUCUGAAUAGAAAGUACAAUAAAGAUACCAGAAAAGCAGUUAAAUCACAAAGAUAUUAGCUAACCUGAAAGAAUUAGUCAAUUAACACCUGAUAUGACUUUUUAAAUUAUUUAACCAUUCUAUAACCCAGGAUUCCAGUGGCUUAUUUCUUUUAUUAUCCUGGGGCUUCUUAUCCACUCAUAUUUAACUAUUAUAAAUUAUGAUAAGAAAAUGAUGUGCAAAUUUCUGUCUGGUGUCCUGGUCACCCUUCCAAACUUCAAACUUUCGUAUUCAAUGGCCUGAUAGCUAGCUCAACAGGAAUGUUCCAGAGAUACCCGUUACACAUACUGUUGAAGCUAAAAUAGAUUAUUUCCAGGAUCUUUCUCAUAUUUCUCUAUGAACUCAGUAGCCAAAUUAGAAAUCUGCAGUCAUCCUUCACUGCUUUUUUUUUCAUGGAGUCAUAAUCUUUAUUUUGUCUCUUAAAUGUAAAAAGCAACCACUACUCUUACUACACUAAACCUUUAUAAUCUCUUAACUUGAACUUUUGCAGCAGUUUCCAGAAUGGUUUUCUAGGCUUCAAUCAAGCAUCCUCAAGUACUGCCCUCAUUGAAGACAAUUAUUCAUAUAAUUUUUUUGUUCCCCUUCUUAAAACCAUUCAAUGGAUUCCUAUUGCCUAAAGGAUGAAGUGAAAGCUCCUUAUAUGGCAUUACUUACAUAAUCAAGCCUGAAUUUAAGCAUGCUCUUGUGACUAAGUCUAAUGGAUAUUUAGUAUUUCAGAAUUCACCUGAAACUCUCAAGAAGAGCUUUUAGUGAAAGCUACCAUGCCUUAAAACUUUCUUUUUGGAUUUUGUGAUGCCGUAUUUAACAGACACUUGUAGGCACUAUAUACUCAGAUUCCCUACAGUGGCUUUUAUCAUUUUUGUGCACCAUCCCUUCCUUCCUGUUAUCCUUGCUUCUAACUUCUGCACCUGCUUAUAUGAUAAGGCCUGUCCGCAGGCAACUGCAGCCUCUUUGCAGGGAACAGGAGUACCUAAGAUCAAUAAUUUCGAGGAGAAGAUUUUGGCAAAUACCGUAUGGGAGUAUAAAAGUCCAGCUCUUUUCAGUGAAUAGGGAAGAAUUCUGAGGAUCAGGUGGUCAUCCUUCAGCUCUUACCUAAGGAGUCAGGCUAUGGCUGAGACUUGGCUUGAAAUCGCAUACAUACUUGGCUUUUUUCUUAUUCCCUCACUUCUCCAGGAGCAUUUUUCUAAUAAAUCACUAAAAUGUGAAUUGUUAUGGCUUGGUCUGCUUCUGAAGACAUGACGGGAGACACCCCCCUCUCCUAAUUUCCCCCAUGCCUUCUGGUUCCUCUUCAUCACUCUCUAUUGGCAGCUUUUCCUUCUCCAUCCAAUGUAUAAAUGCUUGAGUUCCUCAGCACUCAGUCUCAGAUGCUUUUCUCAUUGCAUCUGUACCUCAUCUGGAGGCCAUUUCAUCUAUCCUCAUGGCUAAUAUUACAAUCAGUUUUUUUCCCCAGUCACCUAGACUUUCUUUAGAUAAAUAUUUUAACACUGUCCUCAACAUUCCCAUUUGGUUGUUUCACAAGUAAUUCAAACACAACACAUCUCAGAAUGAAAGCAUAAUCUAACUCAACUCCUAUUCCAUACAUCAGGUGACUGAUUACAUUGUCAAAGGAAAUCAACCAGAGAAUUGUUAGCAUAAGGAUCUAUUAAAAAGUAAUCGAUAUGAGAAGGCUCCAAAGGAAUAUUCAAACUUGAGGGAGCAGGGUAGAAAGUUUUACUGGGCUACCUUCAGGAACAAAUACACUUUUCAUAUGGUUUAGCAGCCACUGAGCAAUCUGGUUUGUAUCAAUAGAGAUGGAGAAGAACAGAGAGAAGAGAAUAUUAUGUGAAAGGAUAUAGGGAGGAAUAGUUGAAAGAUCAAAAAUAUGCCAAGGCCACAGUGGAAAAUUAUCAAUCCUUCAGAGUCUCUCACAUCAUCUUGCUAGGGCCACAUGACUUCCCUCCAUCGCAUUUGACUCACUCUGGAAAUAUUAUAUUUCUCCUGGGUCACUCUAACAACCUUCAAAAUGGUCUCUAUAUACUCUGACCCUUCUAUGAUCUAGCUUAUAAUGCUUUGUUAAAUAUUUAGUAAUUAUAAGAGAUUAUAAAACCUACAGAAUGUAUAAGGCUAAAAUACUAAGAUACUCUUCUAUUCAUCAGCUAGUUUGAAAAGCCCUCUAGGUGCCUUUCCAUAAUCCUAUUCAAUUUUGUUUUCACUCAGACAUGACCAGUAUUAUGACUUUCAGUUUUAACCUUUUGGUGCCUUACUGUCCUUAAAACUUCAUUUAUUUAUGCAUUUCUACCAUAUAUUUUUGUUGUUUCCUGUAUUUCAAGUGUUUACUUAUAAAAUAAUACAUAAAAUAAGCAUUCUUCCAUGAAUUGCCUUUUUCACUCAAAAUUAUAUUCCUGAUGUUCAUGUAUGAAAUGCAAAACUGUUGUUUUAAAAUUUUCACUGCUGUGUAAUAUUCCACUGUAUAUGAAUAUAAUACAACUUAUUUAUCCAGUCUAAUGUUGGCAGAUUUGGGGAGUAUUAUCCCUUUAUACAAAUUAAUUAGUUAACAUCUACAAAAAUUAUUUUAAUGAAUAUUUCUAUAUAGGUCUUUUGAUGUAUACACACAAGUGUUUCUUCAUAUACUUAAGAGUAGAAAUAUGAGGCCUUUGGGGAUGAAAAUCUUUGGCUUUACUAGAGAGUGUCAAAUAAUUUUACAAAACAUUUGUACCAAUUUCAUAUUCAUAAUCUUACCACUAGUCUAUGAGAAAU